UGCAACCAGCAGGAGGGGGAUGAAUGGGGAGGGGCCUCCACUCAUCCUUGGAUGGAGGAGUACGACAUGCACGUCCAAGGAGGGGGUCAAGAAGCCGAGCAAGGUUGUGGCCAUUGGUUGCUGGGUGCAACUGCAUUUAACUACCCAUGUUGUCUUCAAAUGGCGGACUGAGGUUGAUCAGCAAAGAAGGCAAAAGGAGCAUAUGACAACAACAAGGAGGCUCCCGCCAAAUCAGGCGAGAAGCUGACCUCUUAGUUAAUCAUUUUACAUCUGCAUCUACUCCAGUGUUAAAAUGGAAACCAACACCAGAGGCAGCAGAAUGAAUUAUUUUCACAAAAAUGUAUGCAGAUGGUUCAAGUUUUACAGGCCACAAUUCAUCACCAAAUAAGAAGCUUGUGUCCAAGACUUGGUCCCCAGUUUUGCCUCCCACUUGUGCUGCAUUGCCAUCAGGAUCCACUGCACAAGAAAAUGGUAAUGUAGAAGCAUCUGCUAAGUCAAAAAGAGUGAGGGAAUGCUCAGGUAAUUAUGGUUAAAAUUAUGAUUUA